AUGAAUAGAGACAAUUCUUUACAUGCACCCAGAGAUACCAAACAAAUUAGAAAUGCCAAGUACCGUAAUAAACUGAAAACACAGCCUGCUUAUGCCAAUGUUGCUGAUGAAAUUCUUGCCGUUGUCGGGAUGCUCGAUACACAUCCGUUCGUACAACAAAUAAUUCACAACAAGAAUCAAGUACCAGCAAUAGUGUGUUACACGGACAACCAAAUAACAGAUUUGAGACAUUUUCUUGCACAAAAGUCCGAGCAUCCUCUUGGUGUUGAUAGAACAUUUAAUCUGGGAAGUUUUUAUGUCACAUCCAUUGUUUACAAGAACCUGCGGGUAAACAGAAAAGAAACAAAAGACCAUCCAAUCUUUGCAGGACCAAUGCUUCUACACAAGGAUGCGUCAUACAAAACAUACAGAGCCUUCUUUUCAAACAUUUCUGCCACACUUGAACUACCCAUUAAUGAUGUUGAACUUCGUCUCCACGAAAAUAUAGAGUUUGGCAGUGAUGACGAAAAAGCUAUGACCAAGGCGAUAGAAAAUGCAUUUCCAACUGCCAAACGAAGAUUGUGCACAAAACAUUUAAAGGACAAUGUACAACAUUACCUUCAAGAUCGUGUUGGUGUUAGCACCCAAGAAAGAAAAACCAUCAUCAACACAAUUUUUGGAGAUCAAGGAAUUGCAAGCGCAGACGACACAUUGCAAUUUGCAAGGGCAGAUUCGGAGCUCAAGGACUUGUGUGCAAAUCAUCCUCAGUUCCUGAAAUAUUACGAACAAAGUUUUAAGCCACGAGUUGAAGAAUUCGUUAAUGCACCCAAUAGACGUUUAGGCACUAAGCAAAUGUGGACGAACAACAAUGCAGAAUCCAUGAACCGGGUGAUGAAAGUGGCAGUCAACUGGAAGCCCCAACAUGCACCAGAUUUGGUUGAUAAACUAUUUGACAUGGUGGACUUCCAGUUCAUUAAUCUACGGUCAGCCCUUCAUCAUUCUGGGGACUACAUGCUGGUCAACUCAUACAAACAGUACACUAUAGCAGAUGCCAUCUGGAAAACAAAAUCAGACGAGGAAAAACGAAAGCUCUUUAAUAAUUUCCUGCAGGACAGUAAAAAAAGAAAACACGAAAAUAUCAUAACUUCAUCCGAUGGACUAUACUCUGUUGUGAACAAGGCUAAGUCAAUAGCCAAGAAACCUAUGCAGAGAAAAGAGACCAAGAACAGAAAGAGCCGAAAAAAGACAUUAAUGUAUUUAUUGAAUUGUUUUGUUAUUGAUGUUAUCAAAUUAAAAUUUUCAACUUAA
rnacentral:sRNA from 1 species